GUAGGUGGCAAGCGUUGUCCGGAAUUAUUGGGCGUAAAGCGCGCGCAGGCGGUCCUUUAAGUCUGAUGUGAAAGCCCACGGCUCAACCGUGGAGGGUCAUUGGAAACUGGGGGACUUGAGUACAGAAGAGGAAAGCGGAAUUCCAAGUGUAGCGGUGAAAUGCGUAGAGAUUUGGAGGAACACCAGUGGCGAAGGCGGCUUUCUGGUCUGUAACUGGCGCUGAGGCGCGAAAGCGUGGGGAGCAAACAGGGAUUAGAUACCCUGGUAGUCCACGCCGUAAACGAUGAGUGCUAAGUGUUAGGGGGGUUUCCGCCCCCUUAGUGCUGCAGCUAACGCAUUAAGCACUCCGCCUGGGGAGUACGGCCGCAAGGCUG
rnacentral:rRNA from 1 species